AAUACGAUUUUUUUAUGAAAAUAAUUUCAUAAAAUUGCAUUGAGUUGAACCGAAACCGUAUCGAAAUUUUAGUUUAAUUUCGAUUCUUAAGCAGAUCUCAAACCACAACUAAAAAUGGAAUCGUACACCACUAGUUGCUGGAAUUAAACAUUUUCAUUAGCAAUCACUUUCCUAGGAAAGCAACAUUCCAAGAAAGUAAGUGUUUGAUUCACCUUUUAGGUGCAGCUGAUUGCGGAUAGACACACAAAUAGAUAAACUAGAGUGUUUAACAAACUUAAAAACAUAGAGCUGAUAGCUGAUGGGUAA
rnacentral:misc_RNA from 1 species